GGGUCUUUAGCUCAGUUGGUUAGAGCAGCUGACUCAUAAUCAGCGGGUCCUUGGUUCAAAUCCAUGAAGACCCA
rnacentral:tRNA from 3 species